rnacentral:sRNA from 14 species
UUGACACAUGCAUAUUAUGAACUUCGUAAUGCAGACCAUGUAAACAUUUUCAAUUAUUUACCUUCUGAUCUUAAAACUUCAUCUUAUGAUUAAAUUUACCCGUCGUAUUUUCCUAAUAAUGUGCAGUAUUCCACAAAAGUUUUUCCAAGUUUGUCGGUUGUGUUUGGUAUCAAUUGGAGAAAAUGAUGUCCAGACCCAUCGUUUGUGUGAUGAGUCUCAAGUUCGGAGACGCUUAUUUACGGACUGCGGUUGCAACAAAAAUCUGUAUAAUAAUCAUUUUGCAAAGAGUCCAAUCCGUGACAAAAAUAAGAGAUUUGAUAAGUCGACAGAUGAUUCUUUACCGUUGAUAAUUUCCCCUAGUGAUUCAUGUUUGCCCAAAAAUUUUCAGCACUCAAAUUCUGAGUUGUCAAAAGAAGAGAAGCCAGAUAUUCGAAAUAACAAAGAAAGAAGUAAGGUAAAGAAUAAAUUUGUACCUGAAAACAUUGGGGAUGAGACAUUUCAAAAUUUUGAUGAUGAUUCAUCGCCGUCUAUAGUAAUACAAAUACUUAGAUGUCUAUCCUUAGAGGUGUCUCUUGGUGACCAAUUACCCAAAUUGGUAUGCUGCAACUGCCUGUCCAACUUACGGACUUUAUGGAAAUUCCGGACGAUGGCUCAAGAAGCAGAUACCGUACUUCGAAAUUUUUUGAUGUAUUGCAAAUCAUCAAAUAAGCCAAGCGAAAUGAAUGCAAGGAAGCGUCUCAACUUUUACACAUAUUAAACAGUUCUUUCGCAUUGCCCAAAUCACCAAAUCUAGAAAGAAAAGCACCCUCAGAGAAGCCAAUGGAAUUAGUCAAGUGUGGGAAAUUAUUUGCCUCUAGAAACGGUCUUCAUAAGGAUAUGGUGUGCUCUAAUUGUGGAACAGUAACUACAACUAUUUGGAGGAGGAGUAUCUGUGGCGAUAUUGUAUGCAAUGCAUGCGGUUUAUAUUUUAAACUCCAUGGAGUUAAUAGACCGCAUUCCAUGAGACGGGAUACUAUACAUACUAGACGGCGGCGACAAAAGGGCCCCGAAAAAGCAGUAAAAAUUGUUUCUCGAUGACAACGAAUCUCCGCUUUUGUAUAACAACAACAUCAUCAUAACCAUCAAUCUCAUCAGUAUAUCACGAUCCCCGUACAACAGCAACAAUAACAACAAGGCCUUCUGUCAAGCAGGUACCAUUAUGUAGUCAUCCGAUGUUUUGUCACAUGCUUAUAUAGACGCACGGAGGAAAAGCAACGGUAUUUUUAAAGACUUUUUAUAAGGUCAAGUUUCUUUCUCGGAAAGUUUACAUUGUUGUCAAGUCACUUGGAAAUAGCUUGGUGACGGACAAAUUGCUGUUACCUCAUGUAGUUAGAAAAAUAUUAACUAUAGUUGUUGCCGCUAAAACCAAUCAGUAAAGAAAAACCAUUGUAUUUCUAUAUAUUAUUUACUAAUAGUCACCGCGUUUAAAACCAUUCAAUGCUGUGCAGACACACGCUUGCAGAAGAAUAAUUCUGUCUUUCCGAAGAAAAUUCACUGUAUACACACCUUUUAAAGUAUUUAAUGACGCACUUUAAGCCAAUUUAGUGCCGUGCAGGCACAUAUUUUUGAUAAUUUCCUGAAAUUUUGAUAUAUAUAAUUUUUAAGCGAUUUUACAACAUUUUAGUACAUUUAAGCUGUUUUAAAUAUUCAAGCCCAUGAUUGUGAACCUUUGUUAUUCUCCUUCUUCUUUUUAAUUUGUUGUUUAGCAAUUUUUGAUAACCUUGUGCUGUUCAAGGCAAAACACUUGUAUUUUCCAUUAGUUUGAAGAGAAUUUUCAAGCCUUUUAGAAACAUUCAGUGCUGUUUAAGGCACUUAUCAUUUCUUUCCUUCAAUUCAAACCUUUGUCAAGUAUUCUCGUACCAGGUGGCACAUUGAGAUAUGCUACUUAAUCUCUUUUAACAUAUUUUUUUCUUGGUUUAUAUUCCGUCACUUGAUCGAAUUUAUUUAUGAUGGUAUAUAAAAACAUAUUGUACAUGAGAUUUUAGCCCAAUUCUCAUUCUAGUUUUUUAUUGUAUUUAUAAGUCAUGAAUUGUGACCGCAUUCCAUAUUAUAGCGCUAUAAUAGGAGUGUUCUUUUUUUGAUUUUUUU